rnacentral:rRNA from 1 species
UACGUAGGGUGCAAGCGUUAAUCGGAAUUACUGGGCGUAAAGCGUGCGCAGGCGGUUAUGUAAGACAGGUGUGAAAUCCCCGGGCUUAACCUGGGAACUGCAUUUGUGACUGCAUAGCUAGAGUACGGCAGAGGGGGAUGGAAUUCCGCGUGUAGCAGUGAAAUGCGUAGAUAUGUGGAGGAACACCGAUGGCGAAGGCAGCCCCCUGGGUUAACACUGACGCUCAGGCACGAAAGCGUGGGGAGCAAACAGG